rnacentral:rRNA from 1 species
CCUACGGGAGGCAGCAGUGAGGAAUAUUGGUCAAUGGGCGUAAGCCUGAACCAGCCAAGUCGCGUGAGGGAUGAAGGUUCUAUGGAUCGUAAACCUCUUUUAUAAGGGAAUAAAGUGCGGGACGUGUCCCGUGUUGUAUGUACCUUAUGAAUAAGGAUCGGCUAACUCCGUGCCAGCAGCCGCGGUAAUACGGAGGAUCCGAGCGUUAUCCGGAUUUAUUGGGUUUAAAGGGUGCGUAGGCGGCCUUGUAAGUCAGCGGUGAAAGUCUGGGGCUCAACCGUAGAAUUGCCGUGGAAACUGGGAGGCUGGAGUGUGUUAGAGGCAGGCGGAAUGCGUGGGGUAGCGGGGAAAUGCUUAGAGAUCACGAAGAACCCCGAUUGCGAAGGCAGCCUGCCAGGCCAUGACUGACGCUGAUGCACGAAAGCGUGGGGAUCAAACAGGAUUAGAUACCCGUGUAGUC